rnacentral:lncRNA from 1 species
ACUUUCACUGGAGGCUUGGAAGAGCCUCUAGGGCUUCCUGGAGGAGGUGUUUGCCCUAAAUGAAAACUAGCUGUAUCCAGGGUCAGUUGCUGCCUUCAGCCAGAGCAGAAGCAGAGAGACGGGUGGAGGCAGCUACAGAGGUAACAGAUCACCUCAGCUGUCCCCGAUCCUGUCUCUUCUUGGGCCCUGGCCCUGCCCCUGCUCUUCCAGGAAGUCUCUGCUCCAAGGGAAAGCAGAGUACAGAUAUGAAAGGCUCAUAGCAACCACCUCCAGCCUGGUCAAUCAAGGGCAUCUUCCUCCCCAACCCCGCAGUUUGGAAAAGAGUCCACUAGGUGGCGAUAGAACGAUGACAUCCUCAACUCCAUCAUUACUUUAGCAGAUGUUUGCAGGUCAGAGGCUCGGUACAAGGUCGGGAAGGACCAGCAGACGGAGCAGCGAGGCCCCUGUUCUCAAGGAGCUUGUGUUGUAGUUGGAGAGGCAAACUGGAGGGAGACACAGAAAGAGAAAGAAAGUAGAUGAAGCAGGCACCCAGUGCGGUCAUGUUGCCUGACUGGAACUUCGCUUUGGGACCGGACAGGACUGAUUGUAAAAGCCACCAUUCCAGAGACUGGCUAAGCUGAUGAUUGUCCCUCGCCUGACCACUCGGAAUGUAGCUGGAGCCACAACUGCGUGGAGCGCAUAGGAAAGGCAGAAUUCCCAUUCCUCAAAUGCGCUCAAUCAGAAUCUGCCUUUUAACAAGGCAUAUCUCAUACACGCGUGGAAGUCGGGGAACACAGCGCGUUGGGGAUAAAUGACCCCUGUGGGCUAACUCUGGUCACCUGUAGAUUACCGUAGUAAAAGUGGAUCAUGCUC